rnacentral:rRNA from 1 species
CGGGACGGGUGAGUAACACGUAGAGAACCUACCUUACACAGGGGGACAACGGCUGGAAACGGCUGCUAAUACCGCAUAAGCACCCAGUUUCGCAUGAAACAGAGUGAAAAGAGUAAAUCGGUGUAAGAUGGCUCUGCGUCUGAUUAGCUAGUUGGUGGGGGUAAAGGCUCACCAAGGCGACGAUCAGUAGCCGGCCUGAGAGGGCGACCGGCCACAUUGGGACUGAGACACGGCCCAGACUCCUACGGAAGGCAGCAG